rnacentral:rRNA from 1 species
UACGUAGGGCGCAAGCGUUGUCCGGAAUUAUUGGGCGUAAAGAGCUCGUAGGCGGUGUGUCACGUCGGCCGUGAAAACCUGCAGCUUAACUGUGGGCGUGCGGUCGAUACGGGCAUCACUGGAGUUCGGCAGGGGAGACUGGAAUUCCUGGUGUAGCGGUGAAAUGCGCAGAUAUCAGGAGGAACACCGGUGGCGAAGGCGGGUCUCUGGGCCGAUACUGACGCUGAGGAGCGAAAGCGUGGGGAGCGAACAGG